UAGGGAAUCUUCGGCAAUGGGGGCACCGUAGCACCGGACGCAACGCCGCGUGAGUGAAGAAGGUUUUCGGAUCGUAAAACUCUGUUGUUAGAGAAGAAUGUGUAGGAGAGUAAAAAGUUCUUACAGUGACGGUAUCUAACCAGAAAGGGACGGCUAACUACGUGCCAGCAGCCGCGGUAAUACGUAGGUCCCAAGCGUUGUCCGGAUUUAUUGGGCGUAAAGCGAGCGCAGGUGGUUUAAUAAGUCUGAUGUAAAAGGCAGUGGCUCAACCAUUGUAUGCAUUGGAAACUGUUAGACUUGAGUACAGUAGAGGAGAGUGGAAUUCCAUGUGUAGCGGUGAAAUGCGUAGAUAUAUUGG
rnacentral:rRNA from 1 species